CCAGCCAUGCCGCGUGCAGGAAGACUGCCCUAUGGGUUGUAAACUGCUUUUAUACAGGAAGAAACACUCUUACGUGUAAGAGUUUGACGGUACUGUAAGAAUAAGGACCGGCUAACUCCGUGCCAGCAGCCGCGGUAAUACGGAGGGUCCGAGCGUUAUCCGGAAUCAUUGGGUUUAAAGGGUCCGCAGGCGGUCAAUUAAGUCAGAGGUGAAAUCCCACAGCUCAACUGUGGAACUGCCUUUGAUACUGGUUGACUUGAGUCAUAUGGAAGUAGAUAGAAUGUGUAGUGUAGCGGUGAAAUGCAUAGAUAUUACACAGAAUACCGAUUGCGAAGGCAGUCUACUACGUAUGUACUGACGCUGAUGGACGAAAGCGUGGGGAGCGAACAGGAUUAGAUACCCUGGUAGUCCACGCCGUAAACGAUGGAUACUAGCUGUU
rnacentral:rRNA from 1 species